UUUUUGAUUAUUCUCCAGCUGCUUGAGGUUGUCCACGUGAUGCAAGUAGUUUUGAACGGCCAACAUCCUACAGAAAAUGGUUACAAGAGAUGCUAAAAACGUCAGAUAGAUUCCAAGAGGAGAUGCAAAACCAUGAAAGUAUUUGUUGAUGGUCAUCUAAACGAAUCGAUCAUCAACACGAGGAUGAUCAAUAUGCAUAGAUGUCAAUCAACAAACACAUUCAAGGGUUGCAAAAGAGAGUAACCAACCGAUAAAAAUC
rnacentral:lncRNA from 1 species